rnacentral:rRNA from 1 species
UACGUAGGGUGCAAGCGUUGUCCGGAAUUAUUGGGCGUAAAGAGCUCGUAGGCGGUUUGUCGCGUCUGCUGUGAAAACGCGAGGCUCAACCUCGCGCCUGCAGUGGGUACGGGCAGACUAGAGUGUGGUAGGGGAGACUGGAAUUCCUGGUGUAGCGGUGAAAUGCGCAGAUAUCAGGAGGAACACCGAUGGCGAAGGCAGGUCUCUGGGCAUUAACUGACGCUGAGGAGCGAAAGCAUGGGGAGCGAACAGG